UGUGAUCCUACUUUGCUUUCCUGAUACAUAGUAUACUUUACAAACCUUGUCCCAUGUCAAUAACAUAAACAAUGUGCGACGUGAGAGGUAAACGCCAUUCCAGGAAUCCAAAUGUGCUGUUUGCCCAAAUAACAUUAUUAUUAGCGUGAGAAGAAUACGGUUACUCUCCCUUAUCUGCAGUUUUCCUUUCUGCAGUUUCAGUUCCCUGCUAUCAACCGCGGUCCAGAAGCAGAUGGAUGGUCCUCCUUCUGACGAAUCGGCAGAACGUCAAUAGAAGCCUAAGUUUACGUCAGAAUGCUGCGUCAUUACCUCGCUUAGUUUCGCCCAGGCAUUUUAUCACCUCACAUCAUCGCAUGAAGGGGAAGGAGAGUGCUGAUGUGUCUUGUACUGUCAACUUAAAUAUCUCCAUACAGACAUGACAUAUAUCACUUCACUUCCAACCCAUUGGCUCUCCAGUGUGCCUAGAAGGAAAAGAGAAACAAACAGCUCCAGAAGGGCCGUUCUGGGGAGGACAUGAGGCACAAGGUAUAAGGCCACAGAGAGGAGCCACAAACUAUCAAGGAGAUGUGGAUGUAGAGACAAGAGGUGAAAAUGGUUAAUUGCAAAAAGUGUGCGAGAGUUAUACCAGCAAGUGUUGUCAUACUCGGGAUGGCAGUGGAAUGUGCAGAAAUACGAAGACAUCAUAGGAAUUUCUGUUUCUAGCCUUGAUAAAGUAAUAAUGACUGGAUUUACCCUCUCAAGCAAUCUUAAAAUGGACAAAAUAUAUUCAACAACAGAUUUCGGACACUGGACAACAGGUGGGCAGGAGAAGGAUCCGGGAACAAAUGAGGCCUUCCAUCUCAUGUCCCCCAGCAACACCCACACCCCUUUGUCAAGCAGCAUGGAAAUGAUCACAGGAAUUUUGUAUAGAGACAAGAGGUAAUUGAGUUGGAGAUUAUUUGUGGGACAUUUGGAGACAGAAACAGAGCAGUACAGAGGAAAAAUAUGUGGAGACGCAGAGAGGAUGCCAUCUACAAGCAAGGAGUGCCUGAGGCUUCCAGAAACUCUGAAGUAGACACAGUCCUCAUAAAGAACAGACCCUGCAGAUGCCUGAUCUUGAACUUCUAACCUCCAGAACUGAGACAAUACAUAUCUGUUGUAAGCCA